rnacentral:rRNA from 1 species
CAGUAGCCGCGGUAAUACGUAGGUGGCAAGCGUUGUCCGGAAUUAUUGGGCGUAAAGGGCUCGCAGGCGGUUUCUUAAGUCUGAUGUGAAAGCCCCCGGCUCAACCGGGGAGGGUCAUUGGAAACUGGGAAACUUGAGUGCAGAAGAGGAGAGUGGAAUUCCACGUGUAGCGGUGAAAUGCGUAGAGAUGUGGAGGAACACCAAUGGCGAAGGCGACUCUCUGGUCUGUAACUGACGCUGAGGAGCGAAAGCGUGGGGAGCGAACAGGAUUAGAUACCCCCGUAGUCCCUGUCUCUUAUAC